GCGUGAUUAGCUCAGCGGUAGAGCACUGCCUUCACACGGCAGGGGUCACAUGUUCGAUCCAUGUAUCACUCACCA
rnacentral:tRNA from 1 species